rnacentral:lncRNA from 1 species
GGUGUCGUUCUGUUUUAUUGUAAAAACAUUGAAACCAUGCAUUCAGUGAUUGUGCCUUUUUGGAUGUAGGAGGCUUUGCCUGAAGCUACAUAAAAUACUUUGAAUCACAUCUAAACUUUCAUAGUCUGGCCAUAUAAAAGCCUUAAGGAUCAUUUAGUUAUCUUUCUUCCCUGUCUUCGGUUUGGUCCUCGCUUCUGUACAUCCAGGUACUUUGUCCUCUCUUUUUUUUAUGUAGGGGGAACUAACAGCCUUUCUCCUGAAACGAUUCCCCUCUUCCCCUUUGUAGGCAAAACUAGUGGCCUCUAUUCCUAAACUAUUGCUGUCUUUUCUUUUGUAGGUGGGACUAGGGUCCUCUCUUCCUAAACUAUUCUGCUCUUCCCAUUCGUUGGUGGGACUAGUGUCCUCUCUGUCUAAAUGAUUCAUCUCUUCCCAUGUGUAGGCAGAACUAGCAUUCUCUCUAAACUAUUCCCCUCUAAACUAUUCUUUUACAAAACUAUUCCCCUCUUCCCUUUUGGAGGCGGGACUAGCUUUCUCUCUUUCUAAACUAUUCUCUUCUAACAUUUUGGAGGCAGGACUAGAUUCCUCUGUUCCUGAAGGAUCUUUUGCCUUGAGGAUGUCCACAUCAACAGAGAAGACAAACUGAUCGUAAGCAGUGUAAUCGGUGAUAUUACACCUUCCCAGUAUAUCAGCUGCAUUGUCAGUCUGUCUGAUUGGGGAGAAAGCCCUUAUAAACUCUAGGCCUCCGUAGUUCACAGAGGUCCACUCCUUCCCUGGGAAGUCUGGCACAAAUGACCCGUCACAGAGGAACCAGUCAGUGAUACUGCUGCUCUCGCUAUCCCCUUGAGAGCCAUGGAACUGGCCCUCCGGAAGAGAGGUCUCGGUCAGGGGAAUAGUGGAAUGUUCCAGAGAGACACUGUCCCAUGUCUGCUUUCUGGGAUCCAGGGUUGGUCUAGCUGGAGGGCUAUAGUCCAGGGGUAGAGGGUCUGUCUGGAGGUGGGCAAGGUGGAGGAGACCCGAGGCAUAAGGAUGGCCUGUGAGACGGUAGUGGAGGUCUGGUAGGCUGAGGGCCACACACUGCAGGUUCUGCUGUGUCAGAGGCUUCUCCGCUGUAUUGGUCAGUCGCACUGUCGCUGUGUAUGUUGAGUAGGAGUAUGUUUCCUUCAUGAAAUCUGCCCAAUC